AGGAAUAUUGGUCAAUGGGCGCGAGCCUGAACCAGCUAAGUAGCGUGAAGGAUGACGGCCCUAUGGGUUGUAAACUUCUUUUAUAUGGGAAUAAAGUUUGGUAUGUAUACCAUUUUGUAUGUACCAUAUGAAUAAGGAUCGGCUAACUCCGUGCCAGCAGCCGCGGUAAUACGGAGGAUCCGAGCGUUAUCCGGAUUUAUUGGGUUUAAAGGGAGCGUAGGUGGAUUGUUAAGUCAGUUGUGAAAGUUUGCGGCUCAACCGUAAAAUUGCAGUUGAAACUGGCAGUCUUGAGUACAGUAGAGGUGGGCGGAAUUCGUGGUGUAGCGGUGAAAUGCUUAGAUAUCACGAAGAACUCCGAUUGCGAAGGCAGCUCACUGGACUGUUGACUGACACUGAGGCUCGAAAGUGUGGGUAUCAAACAGGA
rnacentral:rRNA from 1 species